UGAGGAAUAUUGGUCAAUGGGCGCAAGCCUGAACCAGCCAUCCCGCGUGAAGGAUGAAGGCCCUAUGGGUCGUAAACUUCUUUUAUACACCAAGAAAAAGCAGGACGUGUCCUGCCCCGACGGUAGUGUAUGAAUAAGCAUCGGCUAACUCCGUGCCAGCAGCCGCGGUAAUACGGAGGAUGCAAGCGUUAUCCGGAUUCAUUGGGUUUAAAGGGUGCGUAGGCGGCUUUUUAAGUCAGUGGUGAAAUCCUGUCGCUUAACGAUAGAAUUGCCAUUGAUACUGAAGAGCUUGAGUACAAUUGAGGUAAGCGGAAUGUGUAGUGUAGCGGUGAAAUGCUUAGAUAUUACACAGAACACCGAUUGCGAAGGCAGCUUACUAAACUGUUACUGACGCUGAUGCACGAAAGCGUGGGGAGCGAACA
rnacentral:rRNA from 2 species